UCUGGUGGCUUGACGGGAGGGUCACACCUGAUCCCAUUCCGAACUCAGAAGUUAAGUCUCCUAGUGGCGAUGAUACUCUUAUGGAGGGGAAAGUAGCCAGCCGCCGGAA
rnacentral:rRNA from 1 species